rnacentral:tRNA from 1 species
GCCGGCGUAGCUCAGUCGGUAGAGCACCCGCCUUGUAAGCGGAAGGUCGCGGGUUCGAUUCCUGCCGCCGGCACCA